GCCUAACACAUGCAAGUCGAACGGAACUUCUUUAAUUGAUUUCUUCGGAAUGAUUUUGAUUAAGUUUAGUGGCGGACGGGUGAGUAACGCGUGAGUAACCUGCCUCUGAGAGGGGAAUAACAUUCUGAAAAGAAUGCUAAUACCGCAUAACAUAUAUUUAUCGCAUGGUAGAUAUAUCGAAGAUUUAUCGCUCAGAGAUGGACUCGCGUCCGAUUAGUUAGUUGGUGAGGUAACGGCUCACCAAGACCGCGAUCGGUAGCCGGACUGAGAGGUUGAACGGCCACAUUGGGACUGAGACACGGCCCAGACUCCUACGGGAGGCAGCAGUGGGGGAUAUUGCGCAAUGGGGGAAACCCUGACGCAGCAACGCCGCGUGAAGGAUGAAGGUCUUCGGAUUGUAAACUUCUUUUAUUAAGGACGAAGAAAGUGACGGUACUUAAUGAAUAAGCUCCGGCUAACUACGUGCCAGCCGCCGCCGUAA
rnacentral:rRNA from 1 species